rnacentral:lncRNA from 1 species
CGGGUGGGGGAGGGGAGAUUAAGGUUUGGGAGUGGGGAAGAUUGGGGAAGAUGACGAUGUGGGUUUUUUUUUAUUUUUUUAUUUUUUUUUCACAUGUCAUAAAUGUGCCAAAUGGAGAAUUUCAGCUGCCAUUGUGUCAAUUCCGGUUGCCACCGUGUCAUUUCCGGCGCCGACGUAAGAAAAAAAUCGAUCACCGCACAAAAAUGAAAGGUUAUAUAUUUAGAGGCAGAUUUUUUAAAAUAGGAGUAAAAAUCAAUUUCGUGUAAACGUUAUGGAUUUACAGGUAAUUACCCCAUUAUUUUUUAAAGUUUAAACUUCAGUUACACUAUUAAGAAAUAUAGAUAAUUGUAAUGAAAUUAUAUUGAUUAUUAUUGGUCUGCAAGUUCU